rnacentral:rRNA from 1 species
UACGUAGGGUGCGAGCGUUGUCCGGAAUUAUUGGGCGUAAAGAGCUCGUAGGCAACCUGUCGCGUCGGAUGUGAAAGCCCGGGGCUUAACCCCGGGUCUGCAUUCGAUACGGGCAGGCUAGAGUGUGGUAGGGGAGAUCGGAAUUCCUGGUAUAGCGGUGAAAUGCGCAGAUAUCAGGAAGAACACCGGUGGCGAAGGCGGAUCUCUGGGCCAUUACUGACGCUGAGGAGCGAAAGCGUGGGGAGCGAACAGG